GGCUGCCACUUCCAAUUUUCAAGCAAGGUGGGAAACCAACUGUGAUGUAUGAAACACUGCUGGCCAACGUGCACAAUUAGUGAUACAAAAUUGAAUAAUAUAAACUAUUGUAAAUAUGUGUGGACAUUGUGGCAAUUUGGACAUCAAAUAACACUGCCAAAUUCACGAAGAGAAAGCUGUAACCUCAUGGUUGUUAUGAAGCUUAACUUCUGGGUACUAGAACCUAUCAAAAUUUCUCCAUGCCAA
rnacentral:lncRNA from 1 species